AAAGCAGGAAAAGGGAAGGAAGAAAAGGAAAUUCCUAGCUGACAUGGAAACAAUGAUUUUGUUGACACAUCCCUGAUGAAGAAACUAAGGCUUGAUGAUUUACUUUAAGUUACCAAGCUAAAAGAAUGAAGCCAAUGCAAAGCUAAACAUAACCUUACCAUGCAAUUUAGCAAUCACACCUCCAGAUAUUUAUUCAACUGUUUUAAAAAUAUAUCUACACAAAUACCUGAAAAUAAAUAUAUCAGCUUCAUUCAUAAUCACCCAAAAGUGCAGGCAACCAACAUACCCUUUGACAGGUGAAUGAAUACACAAACCAUGGUUUAUUUAUACAAUUCAGUAAUACUCAGUGAUAAAAAGUAAUGAACCAUCAAGCCAACCAAAGACAAGAAUGAUUCCUAAUUGCAUAUUGCUAAGUGAAAGAUGAAGCAGGGCAAAGACUAAUAGAGUUUUGCCAAGAAAAUGCACUGGUCAUAACAAACACCCUCUUCCAACAACACAAGAGAAGACUCUAUACAUGGACAUCACCAGAUGGUCAACACCGAAAUCAGAUUGAUUAUAUUCUUUGCAGCCAAAGAUGGAGAAGCUCUAUAUAGUCAGCAAAAACAAGACCAGGAGCUGACUGUGGUUCAGACCAUGAACUCCUUAUUGCCAAAUUCAGACUUAAAUUGAAGAAAGUAGGGAAAACCACUAGACCAUUCAGGUAUGACCUAAAUCAAAUCCCUUAUGAUUAUACAGUGGAAGUGAGAAAUAGAUUUAAGGGCCUAGAUAUGAUAGAUAGACUGCCUGAUGAACUAUGGAAUGAGGUUCGUGACAUUGUACAGGAGACAGGGAUCAAGACCAUCCCCAUGGAAAAGAAAUGCAAAAAAAGCAAAAUGGUUAUCUGGGGAGGCCUUACAAAUAGCUGUGAAAAGAAGAGAAGUGAAAAGCAAAGGAGAAAAGGAAAGAUAUAAGCAUCUGAAUGCAGAGUUCCAAAGAAGAGCAAGGAGAGAUAAGAAAGCCUUCCUCAGCGAUCAAUGCAAAGAAAUAGAGGAAAACAACAGAAUGGGAAAGACUAGAGAUCUCUUCAAGAAAAUUAGAGAUACCAAGGGAACAUUUCAUGCAAACAUGCAUACAAUAAAGGACAGAAAUGGUAUGGACCUAACAGAAGCAGAAUAUAUUAAGAAGCGGUGGCAAGAAUAUACAGAACUAUACAAAAGAUUUCUUAAUGACCCAGAUAACCACAGAUUAAUCCUUUGUCAGUCGCUUUGUUUGCAAACAUUUUCUCCCAUUCUGUGUGUUGUCUGUUUGCUUUCUUUAUGGUUUUCUUUGCUGUGCAAAAUGAUGCUGGCAAUUCAAAUAUGCCAGUCAAGUUGGAAAGUGCUCCCAUUAAGUGAAAAGGUGGAAGUUAUCAUCUUAUAAAGGAAAGAAAAAAAUUAUAUGCUGAGUUUGCUAAGAUCAUCAGUAAGAACAAAUCUUCUAUCCAUGAAAAUCUAAAGGAAGAAAAAAACACAUGCUAGUUUUACUGUCACACCUCGAAGUGCCAAAGUUAUGGCCAUAGUGCAUGCUAAAUGCUUAGUUAGGAUGGAAAAGCAUUAAAGUUUACAAUUAGAUUUUUUUUGACAGACCACAUU
ensembl:lncRNA